rnacentral:lncRNA from 1 species
GGUUCUUUUCCAUUCUAAAUAUAAAUUAACAUUAUUUUAUGCAUUUAAAAAGUAUAUAUUUUUUCACUUUUGGUAAGUUUUACUUAGAACUUUCUCUACAUGUAGUGUUUCUUUUUGUGUUUAAUAUUAUUUUUUGGUAUUUUUCUCUUACUAGGUGGAAAUUUUAGAAAGUUUCCAAUAACAAAUUUCAGGAGAAGAAUUUUAAACAUGCAAAUUCAAAGAUGAAAUUGCAUUAUAUUAA